UGGACUGUUUUUGGACCUGGUGGUUAAAUUCCUUACUGACUACAUCGAACGCAAUGCAAGCGAACAUUAGCGAUAAAAUCUGUUUAACUAUAUUGUUUUCAAUUGGAGUGUCCUGACUGAAGCGAUGCGAGCAGUGCAACACAAUGUAGAAUGAGAAAUAUGGAAGCCUGUGACGCAACACAAUGGCAUGUUUAACAGAUUCAGUGUAGACCGACAACAUUGACAGUCGCUCGCAUGGAUCUGGUUAGGACAAGGUGUUAGUCACUUACACCAGCAAAUAGAGGCAGCUCACAGUGCAUGUGAGGUCACUAUAGUGGCCGUAAAUGCAGGCCAGGAAUGGUACACUGUGCUCCUGGGCACUGGGAGGGAAUUAAAAGUGCCCACUCAGGCCUGGGUGGGCACUGAGGAGAAAUUCCUGUCCAGGCUGCCACUGACUGUGUCUGUGGACAUCGAGGGGGACCUCAUUGUGUCCCCCCAAAAGUUGUUUGAGAGAGAUGAACAGGAGGUGGACGAUUUUGAGGAGUUUUUGAGGAGCGUUUAAUCCCCCCCAAAAGUUAUUUGAGAUGAGUUCAUCAAAGUCUGAUCCAUUUAUUGUACAGUAUGUACUUUAUCCCACUGUAUAUAUACUACUACAUCUAUUUGGUGUAUGCAUAGAGUUAACACCUACCAUAGUCAAAUUCCUUGUACAUAACUAUACUUAUACAUAUAUACCAAUAUAUUGUUGCUUUGACUCUUUACAGAGAGAUGAACAGGAGGUGGACGAUUUUGAGUUCGGGAGUUGAACCCCACCCC